AGAGUUUGAUCAUGGCUCAGAAUCAACGCUGGCGGCGCGCUUAACACAUGCAAGUCGAGCGAGAAAGGGGCAACCUGAGUAAAGCGGCGUACGGGUGAGUAACACGUGGAUCAUCUACCUUUUAGUGGGGAAUAACCUUGAGAAAUUGAGGAUAAUACCGCAUAAGCCCGCAAGGGGAAAGCAGCAAUGCGCUGGAAGAGGAGUCCGCGGCCGAUUAGCUAGUUGGUGAGGUAAUGGCUCACCAAGGCGACGAUCGGUAGCCGGCCUGAGAGGGCACACGGCCACACUGGCACUGAAAUACGGGCCAGACUCCUACGGGAGGCAGCAGUGGGGAAUCUUGCACAAUGGGCGAAAGCCUGAUGCAGCGACGCCGCGUGAGCGAUGAAGCCCUUCGGGGUGUAAAGCUCUUUCGGCAGGGACGAUAAUGACGGUACCUGAAGAAGAAGCUGCGGCUAACUACGUGCCAGCAGCCGCGGUAAUACGUAGGCAGCGAGCGUUGUUCGGAAUUACUGGGCGUAAAGAGUGUGUAGGCGGUGCUCUAAGUUUGGUGUGAAAUCUCCCGGCUCAACUGGGAGGGUGCGCCGAAGACUGGAGUGCUCGAACGUGGGAGAGGAAAGCGGAAUUCCUGGUGUAGCGGUGAAAUGCGUAGAUAUCAGGAGGAACACCUGUGGUGUAGACAGCUUUCUGGACCAUUGUUGACGCUGAGACACGAAAGCGU
rnacentral:rRNA from 1 species